GUGUUAGGCGCAGGCCUACACAUGCAGUCCGAACGGUAGCACAGAGAAGCUUGGCUCUCGGGUGACGAAGUGGCGGACGGGUGAGUAAUGUCUGGGAAACUGCCUGAUGGAGGGGGAUAACUACUGGAAACGGUAGCUAAUACCGCAUAACGUCGCAAGACCAAAGAGGGGGACCUUCGGGCCUCUUGCCAUCAGAUGUGCCCAGAUGGGAUUAGCUAGUAGGUGGGGUAACGGCUCACCUAGGCGACGAUCCCUAGCUGGUCUGAGAGGAUGACCAGCCACACUGGAACUGAGACACGGUCCAGACUCCUACGGGAGGCAGCAGUGGGGAAUAUUGCACAAUGGGCGCAAGCCUGAUGCAGCCAUGCCGCGUGUAUGAAGAAGGCCUUCGGGUUGUAAAGUACUUUCAGCGGGGAGGAAGGUGAUGAGGUUAAUAACCUUGUCGAUUGACGUUACCCGCAGAAGAAGCACCGGCUAACUCCGUGCCAGCAGCCGCGGUAAUACGGAGGGUGCAAGCGUUAAUCGGAAUUACUGGGCGUAAAGCGCACGCAGGCGGUCUGUCAAGUCGGAUGUGAAAUCCCCGGGCUCAACCUGGGAACUGCAUUCGAAACUGGCAGGCUAGAGUCUUGUAGAGGGGGGUAGAAUUCCAGGUGUAGCGGUGAAAUGCGUAGAGAUCUGGAGGAAUACCGGUGGCGAAGGC
rnacentral:rRNA from 1 species